rnacentral:rRNA from 1 species
UCUGGUAACAAUGGCGAGAAUGUCACACCCGUUCCCAUACCGAACACGGAAGUUAAGCUUCUCAGCGCCGAUGGUAGUUGGGGCAUGCGCCCCUGUGAGAGUAGGACGUUGCCAGGC